rnacentral:tRNA from 1 species
GUUAAUGUAGCUUAAUUUUAAAGCAAGACACUGAAAAUGUCUAGAUGGGCAAACAUAACCCCAUAAACA